GACGAACGCUGGCGGCGUGCUUAACACAUGCAAGUCGAACGGAAAGGCCCUGCUUUUGUGGGGUGCUCGAGUGGCGAACGGGUGAGUAACACGUGAGUAACCUGCCCUUGACUUUGGGAUAACUUCAGGAAACUGGGGCUAAUACCGGAUAGGAGCUCCUGCUGCAUGGUGGGGGUUGGAAAGUUUCGGCGGUUGGGGAUGGACUCGCGGCUUAUCAGCUUGUUGGUGGGGUAGUGGCUCACCAAGGCUUUGACGGGUAGCCGGCCUGAGAGGGUGACCGGCCACAUUAGGCCUGGGGUACGGCCCAGACUCCUACGGGAGGCAGCAGUGGGGAAUAUUGCACAAUGGGCGGAAGCCUGAUGCAGCAACGCCGCGUGCGGGAUGACGGCCUUCGGGUUGUAAACCGCUUUCGCCUGUGACGAAGCGUGAGUGACGGUAAUGGGUAAAGAAGCACCGGCUAACUACGUG
rnacentral:rRNA from 1 species